rnacentral:snRNA from 1 species
CGGUGCAGAUCUUGGUGG